rnacentral:piRNA from 1 species
GCCCGGNUAGCUCAGUCGGUAGAGCAUGAGAC